rnacentral:rRNA from 1 species
UACGUAGGUGGCAAGCGUUGUCCGGAUUUAUUGGGUUUAAAGGGUGCGUAGGCGGUUCCAUAAGUCAGUGGUGAAAUACGGCAGCUCAACUGUCGAGGUGCCAUUGAUACUGCGGAACUUUGAGUACUGAUGAGGUAGGCGGAAUUGACGGUGUAGCGGUGAAAAUGCUUAGAUAUCGUCAAGAACACCGAUAGCGAAGGCAGCUUACUAGACUGUAACUGACGCUGAGGCACGAAAGUGUGGGGAUCAAACAGG